AUGGCUCAGGAUGAACGCUAGCUACAGGCUUAACACAUGCAAGUCGAGGGGCAGCAUUGGAGUAGCAAUACUCAGAUGGCGACCGGCGCACGGGUGAGUAACACGUAUCCAACCUGCCGCUUACUCGGGGAUAGCCUUUACGAAAGAAAGAUUAAUACCCGAUGGUAUAAAGAGUUCGCAUGUUCUCUUUAUUAAAGAAUUUCGGUAAGCGAUGGGGAUGCGUUCCAUUAGAUAGUUGGCGGGGUAACGGCCCACCAAGUCUACGGCGGAUAGGGGUUCUGAGAGGAAGGUCCCCCACAUUGGAACUGAGACACGGUCCAAACUCCUACGGGAGGCAGCAGUGAGGAAUAUUGGUCAAUGGACGAGAGUCUGAACCAGCCAAAAGUAGCGUGAAGGAUGACUGCCCUAUGGGUUGUAAACUUCUUUUAUAAGGGAAUAAAGUGAGGGACGUGUCCCUUUUUGUAUGUACCUUAUGAAUAAGGAUCGGCUAACUCCGUGCCAGCCGCUGC
rnacentral:rRNA from 1 species